CUGUAAUCGGGGGGCGCGAGGAUUUCACUGCGAGAGAGAGCGAGCAGGAAAACACAGGUGUAACAGUGUGGAGGUGGUGUUUAAACGCCGGGGAGGAACCGGAGGAGUGAUGCUGGGUGUUGGUGAUUUAACCAGAGCAGAGCUGAGGAACUGCAGUGAUGAUUUGGACCAAUCAGAGUGAGGGAAACAUCUCCCAACGAAUGAGGCUGAGAUCAGAGCCGGGCGUCAGAAUUACGCAGAUGAUCCUCAGAAAGCUGAGCUGCAGUCGAGGUUCCGGCGGUGUUUCAGGAUCAGUUCUAUUGAUGUUCAUCAUCAAAGUACAUCAAUCGCUCGUCUUCAGCCCGACCGACCGGCACUGUCCUUUACAUAUCAGAAGAGUCCGGACCCGGCCGUGCCGAGCCGAGCCGGGCGUCUGGAGGAAGCGCUGCUGAUCUGGUUCUGGAUGGAUCCGGAAAGCUCUUUUGUCAUAGCAACACAUGCAGGAGAAGAACUGGCAACAGGGAGCCAGAACCUAAAUAUGGAACAACAGUGACACCCACUGGAGAAGAGCGCCUGCA